rnacentral:rRNA from 1 species
AUUGAACGCUGGCGGCAGGCCUAACACAUGCAAGUCGAGCGAGCGGCGGACGGGUGAGUAAUGUAUGGGGACUGCCCGAUAGAGGGGGAUAACUACUGGAAACGGUGGCUAAUACCGCAUACUAUCGGAUAACCCAUAUGGGAUUAGCUAGUAGGUGGGGUAAAGGCUCACCUAGGCGACGAUCUCUAGCUGGUCUGAGAGGAUGAUCAGCCACACUGGGAAUGAGAAACGGCCCAGACUCAUACGGAGGCAGCAGUGGGGAAUAUUGCACAAGGGGCGCAAGCCUGACGCAGCCAUGACGCGUGGAUGAAGAAGGCCUUAGGGGUGUAAAGUACGUUAAGCGGGGAGGCGUUACCCGAAGAAGAAGCACCGGCUAACUCCGUGCCAGCAGCCGCGGUAAUGC